ensembl:miRNA
AUGGAGGUGGAGAGUCAUCAGCAGCACUGAGCAGGCUGUGUUGUCUGCUGAGUUUCCACAUCAUUUG